rnacentral:tRNA from 1 species
GGGGACGUGGUGUAGCCUGGCCUAACACGAUUGCCUGUCGAGCAAUAGAUCGCGGGUUCAAAUCCCGUCGUCCCCG